UCUACGGGGGCUGCAGUGGGGAAUAUUGGACAAUGGGCGAAAGCCUGAUCCAGCCAUGCCGCGUGUGUGAAGAAGGCCUUCGGGUUGUAAAGCACUUUCAGUGGGGAAGAAAGCCUUGGGGCUAAUACCCUCGAGGAAGGACAUCACCCACAGAAGAAGCACCGGCUAACUCCGUGCCAGCAGCCGCGGUAAUACGGAGGGUGCGAGCGUUAAUCGGAAUUACUGGGCGUAAAGCGCGCGUAGGCGGUCUGAUAAGCCGGUUGUGAAAGCCCCGGGCUCAACCUGGGAACGGCAUCCGGAACUGUCAGGCUAGAGUGCAGGAGAGGAAGGUAGAAUUCCCGGUGUAGCGGUGAAAUGCGUAGAGAUCGGGAGGAAUACCAGUGGCGAAGGCGGCCUUCUGGACUGACACUGACGCUGAGGUGCGAAAGCGUGGGUAGCAAACAGGAUUAGAUACCCGAGUAGUC
rnacentral:rRNA from 1 species